UGAGAAGGGAGAAUGAUGAAGUGAAGAAGGAGAAUGAUCAAUUGAAGAAGGAGAUUGAUGAAUUGAAGAAGGAGAUUGAUGAAUUGAAGAAUCUUAAGACCCAACAACAGUACUUGGAUUUUAGUUUUUCUGAUCAGGUAAACAGAGAGAUAGAGAGAACAAAUUGGAACUAGUCUGCGCGAGACAGGAGCAGUGAGUUGUUGAUCUGAUAUGGAAAUUGGAGUUGUUCAGGAUUUUAGUUCAGAUUCCAGAAUUUGUAAAUGUUGAGUAGUGUCGUUGCCCUUCAUUUCUGGAUUUUGAAAUGGUCGCCGAGACCUAUUUAUGUAUAAGUUGUAAGUACUCUUAAAUAAAAAGCUAAAAUGCAAGAAAAAAAUCCAUUUCCUGAAACCUAAUGAAACAUAAUCGUUACCGUGUUGCUUUGCU